rnacentral:rRNA from 1 species
UACGGAGGGGGCUAGCGUUGUUCGGAAUUACUGGGCGUAAAGCGCACGUAGGCGGCUUUGUAAGUUAGAGGUGAAAGCCCGGGGCUCAACUCCGGAAUUGCCUUUAAGACUGCAUCGCUAGAAUUGUGGAGAGGUAAGUGGAAUUCCGAGUGUAGAGGUGAAAUUCGUAGAUAUUCGGAAGAACACCAGUGGCGAAGGCGACUUACUGGACACAUAUUGACGCUGAGGUGCGAAAAGCGUGGGGAGCAAACGGG